rnacentral:rRNA from 1 species
UACGAAGGGUGCAACCGUUGCUCGGAAUUAUUGGGCGUAAAGCGCACGUAGGCGGUAUUGCAAGUCGGAUGUGAAAUCCCUCGGCUUAACCAAGGAAGUGCAUCCGAAACUGCUGUACUUGAGUACGAAAGAGGAUCGCGGAAUUCCCGGUGUAGAGGUGAAAUUCGUAGAUAUCGGGAGGAACACCAGUGGCGAAGGCGGCGAUCUGGGUCGAUACUGACGCUGAGGUGCGAAAGCGUGGGGAGCAAACAGG